ACACGGACUCUCUCUCUCAUCGUGACACGUAUGUGCGUAUUCCAGCGCUGAUCAUUUCUCGAGGCCCGAGAGGCACUCGGAGCUGUCAAGGAGAAGGCCGCGACACAACGGAAGCACGGGCGCGAGCAAGUCGGCUUCGCCGGAAGAGCACAAGGCGAGCAGUGAGAAAAAGAGAAGGACACACCCCAAACAGCUUCUCGCUCACUGGCACACACACGCGUUGCAAUGCCGCCGUUCAGUGGCAAGAAGAAGAAGGAGCAGCUGCAGGCGAAGCGGCAGCGCAAGCGGGAUGAAGAGGAGCGCUCAAAGGUGCGCGACCGAGAGCGGGAGAAGCUGCGCGAGGAGCUCAUGGAGCGCGGCGAGGAUGCUUCCGAGGCAGUCCUCGACUCUCUCCUGCGCGAGCGAGCGAAUCUGCAGCACUCAGCGCGUGGACGCCGCUCGCGGCGGCGCGAAAAAGAGAACGCCGCCGCGCAUCGAAAAGCUGUCGGCGGUGACGACGAGGACGACGAAUCUGGCAGCGGUGCAUCAUCGGAUGGCCCGAACCGCGAAGGCGGAGGCAAGCUGCGGCGCAGCGCACCGUCGACCAUGAUGUACAGCGCAGACCGUCAGCAUGGUGUGCGCAGCAUCUUCGUCAAAGAAUCUGCCGCCGUCAUUGCCGCCCGCAAGCAGCUGAGCUAUCAACCGAUUCCGUGCCGCACAACGAUGCCGCCAACAGGCAUCCCGUUCGGAGAGUGGUUCACCUUUCCCUCCUCUGCGUCCUCAGCCGCGGCAGUGGUGUCGGCAGGCACGAACUCCAAGCGUGGCGGCGCUUGGGACGGCGGAGAUGGUGCGCCAAUGUGCGCGGAGGAGAAGCUCGCCCUCAUCGCGGCGGAGCAGCGGCGCCGCAUGGAGCGCCCGUUGGUGGCGUCGGCCGGGGACGCGCUCGGCGGCGUGAGUAGCAGCACAUUCUUCCCGUUCGCGGUGGAACUGCCCUCGCGAGGCUGGCACGUCGGAGCGGAAGGCAGCGCAGUGGUGGCAGAUGCAAGCAUAAUCAUGGCCGGUGCUGGUGAUGCUUCAACCCAACUGCAGUCGGACCGGCCGAGAGCGGCAGAUCCUCAAGCAGCUGGAGGCGACUCCGCCACCCCGGCGUCAGAAGACGGGCAAGAGGAGGUGGCGUGCGCGGGUCAACGCAGCUCUAGCCAUAAUGAGGCAAGUGGAGCAGACAGCAACGAUGUCGGCGCUUCCGCAGUCCGCACAGGCGCCGCUGCCGCGAAGGGCCAUAAUCAAGGCUACGCGCAGUACAUCAGAAGCAUCGAGAAGAAGCGGUUUUCCCUCUACACGGACUGUGUGGACGCUUACCCCUUUCCUGCGGCGCUCGUGGGCCUGGAGGUGAGCUCCUACGAACGGAACGUGGAGGUGUGGCAGCAGCUGUGGCGCACUGUGGAGCUGAGUGACAUCCUUGUCGUGGUGGCCGAUGCGCGGUACCCCAUCAUACACGCCCACCUCGGUCUUCUCACCUACAUAACGAAGGAGCAGCGCAAGCCGUGCGUGUUUGUGCUGAACAAGGAAGACCUCGUGCCAGCCUCCACGCUCCGGCGCUGGCAGCGGUUCCUGUUUCAUUACUUGGAUGACUUGGGCUUCUCCGUGGAGCCGCCAGAUGCAGCGGAGCAACCGGAAGAGAAGGAUACCGAGUGGUGCAACAGCGACGGUAUUGGUCAAGGGGGCUCCGCUAGUGGGCGCAUUGUACUGCGCACCUUCACCGCUAACCCGCGUCCUGAAACGGCAGGGCAGCGCGACGGUGAUGUGGACGUGACACGGCGGCAGAAGAACCGCAAGAAGGCGAACGAGCACAUGUACGAGAAGCUGCGCACUGGCCGGCUAAGCGUGGCGAAGCACCUUGGCGGUGAUCAGCGCGGCGCAGCAGAUGGCAACGACGACGACGAGAGCGAAGAGGAUGACGAGCUCCGUUACGACACCACGGAGAUGUUUGUGGGAAUGAUGGCCGCUCAGCACGCGCUUCAGCAGGACCGCCGCGCCUACAAGGAGCUCGAGGUGGUAGCUGGCAAGAUCACCGAGCUGUUGGCGACAUGUCGCCGCUUGGGCACCGCCGCGCGUGCCACGGCGCACGGAGUGAAUACCGCAGCGGUGGAGCGGUCCGAUGCGGCCCCGUCGUCCUCACCGGCGUACGCGACGUCGUCGCUGCCGUGUGCGGCGCUGCGUGCCGCACACAAGCACAAGAAAGCGCAGAAGAGAAAUGCGGCUCGUCGCGGCGGCGGAGGCGGUGGGGGUGGUGGCAUGGGCGGUACUCUAGCUGGUGACGACUCCGGAAGCGCGAACAGCGACGACGCUGUGGAGGACCGGGCGCCAGACAGCCCCUCGUACCUUCACAUAGGCUUCAUUGGCCACCCCAACGUCGGCAAAUCAUCCCUGCUCAACUGCAUUCGCGGCACGAAGGUGGUCUCGGUGAGUGCCACACCAGGCCACACGAAGCAUAUGCAGACAAUCCCAGUGCCGAGCGAGCACUUGACGUUGGUGGAUAGCCCCGGUCUGGCCUUCCCCGUCUUCGGCGUGCCGCGUCCGCUGCAGGCUGUCCUUGGGACGCACCAGAUCGCCCAGACACGCGACCCGCAGACAAGCAUCAGCUACCUGGCGGCGUACCUACCAAUCGAGAAGGCGUACGGACUGCAGCGGCCCGAGCAUGCGCUGCCGGAGGUUGGCUGGAGUUCUUACGAGCUGUGUGAGGCCUACGCAAAGAAACGCGGCCUCUUCGUGAAGCAUGGCAAGGGUGCCCUCGACGUCCACCGUGCGGCCAUCGCCCUUCUUCAGGAGGCCUACGAGGGGCGGCUUGCCCUCUUCUAUGCACCACCAGAGUUGAACCUUCUGCAGUCCGCUUGGUAUCGCGAGCGUAUUCGCCCGCACCUCCUGUUGUCGGUGUUCAAACCCGUUUUUCUCGCCAGCACGUAGCAGCCGUGAGAGGAAAAGCCAAUGAAAAAGGGGGCCGGCAACUCGUGUUGUCGGCGUGAUUUUCCGCCUUCCGUUCCCAUCGUGUAUGUGUGUGGGGUGGGUGUCACUGCCCACUCUUGUUCGCUUGCCCCGCACGCAUGGUCCUUGUCGAAACGCCCCUCGUACAUGCACACACGCACACGCACAUCAGCGUGCCCGUUCUUUCUCCCUCUGUGUAUGUGGAUCUCUCCCCUCCCCUCCCUCCUCUUUUACCCUUUCCGGGUGUGUCGGUGGGUGGGGUCUCUUUUCAUGAACGCGCGAGCAGGCAGCUGCACCGCAGCUGUUUAAGCAUGAAUCAUGACAGCCGAG
rnacentral:misc_RNA from 1 species